rnacentral:misc_RNA from 1 species
UCAAAACUUGUGGGGCCCUAUCUAUUCCAUCUCUCGACUUGGAUUAUAUAUCCAAAAAGGUCCGCUCUCGGCCAUUCCACACGCUGCCUAGCGGAGGCGUGGUUAUCUGAAGUGGAUUCUCUCUUUUCUAGUAGAUGCCGAACCUGCUGCCCCAUUGACUAAGAAGGGGGCGGGCGCAGCAGCUACAUGGACCCCUUCCUUUCUGUUGUUGCCAGCGCUUUCCCGGGCCGAGCCGGAAUUCCUUAUUAUAAAGGGCAGGCAAAGCCCGAAGGCUGCUAUCCCAAUAGGCCAGCGAGGAGAGGGUCCGGCAAACCAUCGCGGUCGAAAAAGCGUGUUCCCUUCAGAUAACACGCACCGUAGACCAUCCUCGGCCUUCUUCGUUUUCGAUGAAAAACAAAUCAAAUCUCGAUCUCCGAAAGCGUUUUCCUUCCCCCGCCUCCCCUCCUUCGUCGAGCCUUUCCUUUAAUGGUUGGGGGAAGCAUUCCCUUAUCUGAACUUGGCGGGCAUUCUUUCCAGCCUUAUUCAAAUAGGGGGGGGUGCUUUUGAAUAUAGGCUCAAACAUGAUUUGAAGGUCCUAGCUACGCCAUGCGUUCAAUACAAAAUCUGGAAAGCUGCAAGGAUGACAAAAAGAGGGCGCUUUCCUGUGUUGCACUGAAAAAAGAAGGACCUAAGAGAAAACACUCUUCUCUUAGGUUUCUUCCUCCCGCGCCCGCCGCCGCCCGGCCCGCGUUAGAGGGGAAAAUUAGCAAAGCGAGAAAAGACAGAGGGAGGGAGAGCAGCAUCUUAUUCUUUUCGCGAGAACUUCCAGAUCAGAAAAGCAUUCGGAACGGGCUCCGCGUUCAUUUCGUUGGCAGAAACGAUCCAAUCCAUUCGGGGCUUCGGGGAACCAAAAAAAAAGUCUUUCGACUUGAUUCAUAGAUAGAAUCAAUGAUAGAUAGACAAAAGAUAGAUGAACGAGAUAUCUUUUUUUUUUCUCUAAAAAAAAAGAGGAAUAGAAUAGACAUCCCUUUAGAUGUCUAUGUAUCCUUUAUCAUCUUCCGAUUUUUUUUUAUAUCGUUAUAUCUGCUCUCUCUAAAAAAAAUUGAGAGAGAAAGAGCAGUUCCUCUGGAACCUAUAUCGAACAUCAAUUCCUAUCUAUUGAUAGGAAGAUCUUCGUCAAAUACCCGACUUUGCCUUUUUUUUUAGGAAUUCCUCAUAUCCAAGGCAGCUUACCACAAGCACCUCACCCCAUACGACUAGUUGGGGGGGCUGUUCGCCUUUUGAAUCAAACAAAGUAAUAGGGGCUUCAUAGCUACUUUCAUUCUAAAGGAAACCGAAGAACCAACCUUUAGUCAAUAGGAGCCCUACUUCCCUCUUUGCG